rnacentral:rRNA from 1 species
AACGAACGCUGGCGGCAUGCCUAACACAUGCAAGUCGAACGAGACCUUCGGGUCUAGUGGCGCACGGGUGCGUAACGCGUGGGAAUCUGCCCUUUGCUUCGGAAUAACAGUUAGAAAUGACUGCUAAUACCGGAUGAUGUCUUCGGACCAAAGAUUUAUCGGCAAAGGAUGAGCCCGCGUAGGAUUAGGUAGUUGGUGGGGUAAAGGCCUACCAAGCCGACGAUCCUUAGCUGGUCUGAGAGGAUGAUCAGCCACACUGGGACUGAGACACGGCCCAGACUCCUACGGGAGGCAGCAGUGGGGAAUUUUGGACAAUGGGCGCAAGCCUGAUCCAGCAAUGCCGCGUGCAGGAUGAAGGCCUUCGGUGUAA